GAUGAAGAACGUAGCGAAAUGCGAUAAGUAAUGUGAAUUGCAGAAUUCAGUGAAUCAUCGAAUCUUUGAACGCACAUUGCGCCCGGUGGUAUUCCGCCGGGCAUGCCUGUUCGAGCGUCAUUAUCACCCCUCAAGCCCUCGGCUUGGUGUUGGACGGUUUGGUGGAGGCCCCCUCGGGGGCUCCUGCCCCUCCCAAAGACAAUGACGGCGGCCUCGUUGGACCCCCGGUACACUGAGUUCUUCACGGGACACGUAUCGGACACAUGGGUUUACGGGACACGGUCUGCCUCCCCUCAGGGAGAAUCUUUCUAAGGUUGACCUCGGAUCAGGUAGGGAUACCCGCUGAACUUAAGCAUAUCAAUAAGCGGAGGA
rnacentral:misc_RNA from 1 species